GCCGGAGUGGUGGAACUGGCAGACGCGCUGGACUCAAAAUCCAGUGGGCCUUAGGCCCGUGAGGGUUCGACCCCCUCCUCCGGCA
rnacentral:tRNA from 1 species